GACGUUUUUUUCGACAGUACAAAGAAGCAGAGACAAAAAAGACCGACGCGAGUUAUUGUACCCAGGGAAGAUGGUGAAAAGCUACGUUGGACUUUGAGUUGUGGGAAUACAUGAUCUCGGUGAGUUGUAACCGCAUUUAUGUUGGAUUAGUGUGCGAUACCCACUGACCAAAUGUU